rnacentral:rRNA from 1 species
AGGAAGGAACAGCUUGGCAAGUCUACAAAAGCUACAAACAAAUACUACAAAAACUCAAGCAAGGACGAUCUAGUUUUGAGGGCGACACUAGACUCAAUCACUAGAAUGGGAUGA